rnacentral:miRNA from 1 species
CCAAGGUCGUGGGUUCGA